UACGUAGGGGGCAAGCGUUGUCCGGAUUUAUUGGGCGUAAAGAGCGUGUAGGCGGUUAGGUAGGUCCGUUGUGAAAACUCGAGGCUCAACCUCGAGACGCCGAUGGAAACCAUCUGACUAGAGUCCGGAAGAGGAGAGUGGAAUUCCUGGUGUAGCGGUGAAAUGCGCAGAUAUCAGGAAGAACACCGGUGGCGAAGGCGGGUCUCUGGGCAGUAACUGACGCUGAGGAGCGAAAGCGUGGGGAGCAAACAGG
rnacentral:rRNA from 1 species